rnacentral:lncRNA from 1 species
CUUACAGCUCUUCUGCCUUGGAACCAAUACAAAGAUAGAAGGUCCCAGGAGUGCCUGCUUUUCAUAUUGUUCUGUCCCAGGACGGUUUCUGAAAGCUUGAAUCCAAAUACAUACCAAGACUGAGAACUAGCUGAGAAAAUUUUGAUAUAGCAAUGAAAUGGAAUAUUUUACACACUAAGGAAUGAAGAAAAUGAAGAAUUCAUAGGAACCAAAAAAGAGAUU